GACUUCUCUUCGCAGGAUUCCCUCUCUUAGGGUUCCUCCACGGUGUUCUCCAUGCCCGGUCGAGGGCUCCAGGACUUUGGGCGGUAAUGAGUCGGCUACAGUGGGUCUGAGCCGGCGCCGCGGACGAGUCCCUUCGUUUCAGCCAGUUUGGCUCGUUUAUUGAGAAAAGUGGGGGGCGAGGGGUUAGUAUGUAAGAAAGUCUUAAAGUUUCCACAUGGUUAAGUCCAGGGUGUAUGUGCAGGAUGUGCAGGUUUGUUAUAUAGGUAAACGUGUGCCAUGGGGAUCUGCUGUACACACCAUUUCGUCACCCAGGUAUCAAGCCUAGUAUCCACCAGUCAUUUCUCCUGAUCCCCUCCCUCCUGCCACCCUCCGCCCUCCAGUAGGCCCCAGUAUGUGUUGUUCCCCUCCGUGUGUCCAUGUGUUCUCAUCAUUGAGCUCUCACUUGUAAGUGAGAACAUGUGGUAUUUGGUUUCUGUUCCUACAUUAGUUUGCUAAGGAUAAUGGCCUCCAGAUAAGGAUUGAUUGAUUGAUUGAUUGCUAUAGGCAUACUAGUUCCAUAGACAUUAAUAUAUGUGUGACUUGGAGAAGUAGAGUAAGUAGAAAAUUCAGAAUUUCAAAUAGCCACUUUAAAAUGUUUUUAAGUACUGUAUUUCUUUAAAUUUUUUAAAUAAAAUAGACAAAAGUUUGGUUGGCUACACCUUUUUAGGUGAAAUAUACUGAGAGAUGCGGACUCUUCCUCAUUGGAGAAAUGUAAGUUAUUUAGACAUUAAUAAAAGUUCUGCGUUCACCCAUAGAGUGAGAGUUCUCAAAUAUUUUGGUACUAUUUUGCACAUUUUUGCAAAGAAAGGAAGAUCAUCCUUAAUUGAAAGCUGCCAUGAUUAUUUUACAGAUGAAACAAACUGUAUUGCAGUAAAGAUACUUUUUCAACUAUAGAUUGGAAGCUGUGUCAUUCUACUGGAAGUAAAUGAAGUAGUUUGGUAAAGUUAAUAGCCCGAUAAAUGUUGAAAAUACUCACAUUUGUUAGCAAACAUCAUAUAUGAGUACUUUGUGUCAGACAUUCCUGGGUGAGGCAGAAAAUAUGUGGAGAAUUUAAAAAGUGAUUCCAAAUAAAUUUAGGUCCCUUUGCUCUUUCUAAAUAUUACAUUCCCCAAAUCCAUUUAUCCACAUUUAUCUCUAGUAACUACAAUUUGUUUAUGUAAAAAGACAUUUUAGAUUUGGCUGCUUCCCUGUGUGUCAUUUUUUACUUCAAUCACUUUGUAGAGUAUUUUUAAAUAACAAAGGUUUUUAACUCAAGGAUAUAGAGAGGUUUAGCUAGCUUUGAUUCUUGCAAACCCCUGAAGAAAUAGAAAAUGAACAGUUCUGGCCAGUGACUUAGCAUGGCAAGAGUACUAAUGCAGGCCCAUUGCUGCAUAAUCUGGGACUACUCUAAUGGGAAACUUUGGCUUAUAGACGCCCCCAUCAGCCUAGCUGAAAUUUUCUUAGAACUGCGCUGCAGUCUGAGACCCUGCCUGUGCAAUCCUUUCUUUUCUCUCUCCUUCAUAGGUGCCAGACUUAUAUCACAGUCUGGAGCAUCUCCCACCUUCUCCUGCUCUCAUCCCUUUUAUCCUUCAUAGAUGUUUCUGCCAAUUGAUCUCUUACAUGUUUUUAUGGGCUAAAUUGUGUCUUGCCCCAAAUUCAGAAGUUAAAGCCUUAACCCCCAGUAUCUCAGAAUGUGACUGGAGCUAGGACCUUUAAGGAAGUGCUCAAGUUCAAUGAGGCUGUUAGGGUGGGCCCUAAUCCAGUCCUGACUGAUGGUUUUAUAAGAAGAGGGAAUUUGGAUACACAGACACCAGGGGCAGGUGCACACAAGAGAAACGGCCACGUGAAGACACAACAAGAAGGUGGCCAUCUGCAAACCAAGGAGAGAGGUUCAGAAGAAGCCAGACCUUCUGACACGUUGAUCUUGGACUACUAGCCUCCAGAAGUGUGAGGAAAUACAUUUCUAUUGUUUAAGCCACUCAGUCUGUGGUAUUUUGUUAUGGCAGCCCUAGGAAACUAAUACACAUGUCAAAUCUCAUUUUGGCCUUUGCCUCUCAGAGGACCCAAACUAACACAGAUGGCGCUAGGGGAGAUCAGGAAGACAUAAGAUGGGGUUUCAGGACUGACUCACUUACUACUUGUUGGGCAAAGAGGAUGCCAUCCUGCACAGUAUAGGAGCUUGGGUAGUUCCUAGCACAAGGUGGUGACCCAGUUGCUAAAGAUUUUCAUCAAUGUUGACCUGGGAAAAUAUCCCAGUGAACUUAAAGACCUUGCAGAUACAAUUUCAGGCAUUUGAAAUAUAUGGGGGAACAAUGCCUACAAGGACAGUGGAGAUGCUUAGAUACUGCUAAGUUAUAGCAAUACUCUGAAAAGGGAUGAGAAAACAAAGCUUACACUUGGUUAAUGGCCAAAUGUGAAAGACAGAGGGUCUCUUUAGUAGCCUACAAAGAGUCAUUUAUUUUCUGCAAUGGAAAAGCUAACAUGGAUGAGUGACAGACUUCAGACAUGAUAGAGUCACAUAUUCCAGACACAUUGAAAUGUGCAGCCAAACAGGUCAGGGUUCUUAUUGGGAAAGCCAGAGACUGAAACAAAGGAUGGGACAUCUGGGUGGACAUCCAUAUGGAUGUUUGCUCUGCAGACCUCUGUGUACUUUCAAAACUUGCAGAAGUGGUCUGCCUCUCUAUAUUAAGAGUGAGUAAUUCCCCCAAACUGAAAGAUACUGCAGAGCUACUCUCCGACCAAGAAGCACAGGAGUUGCCCCAAAUUCCUCUCCUAGCCCCUCCAGGCCAAUAGCUAGAGGUAAAUACUAGCAUAACCCAGCUAGGAAGAUGCUGGGCCUGACAAAGGAGGAAAAACAAUAAGAAUAAAUUCGCGUAUGCAGACAAGCCGGGGAGCACUCAGGGAUUGGAUUUUGAGGUUGCUUGAUCAAGGGAACUGAAAUAUAAAACAGUAAUCAAGAUUCAUUGACUUGGGGGCACUUCUUGAGACACAGAAUUUAACACCCUAGCAAAGACUCAGACAUAAAGUCACUUUUGGGAAAUUCUUAGAAAUCUGGAACAAGUGAUGACCAAUGCUGAGCAAAGUAAAAAUGAGUUACCCUAGCAUAUGGUAGAAGAAUGAAUUUAAAAAUAAUUUAAAAUAAUUUAAAAAUUCAUUCUUCUACCAUAUGGGGGAAGUGAGUGUUUUCAAUUGAUGUAUUAUGUGAGAGCAGAAGACCCUUUAGAGGAUUAUGGUCCACAGAAGGGUCAAGAAGAUGCACCAUUCACCAAGGCCAUCAGAAGUCCUCUGUUAAGAGGAAUAGCAGCAUCACCAAAUAGUUUUCUGCAGUCCUGGGCUGACAAUUGGAGAAGCAGUCACUGAGUUGGGCUUAUUAAUAACUAUGAGAAUUAUAUCACCCCACCUCCCAAGUAAUAGAGGCCAGAUGGUGGUGCUUAGUCAUCAGAAUCCAGAAGUCCAAUUACCAGUAAGAGCAGCAAGAUCUGGGAAGAGUAGCAAAGUAGAAAUGUCUGAAUUUUUCUGAUGUAUGGUAGGGGCCAUUCCCUACUUUAGUCAUAUAUUUCUGUAGACUCUGUUGUAUUGUAGCUGUCAGACAUGGAAAGAUGUAGUUUGGAGUUUGUGAUGAUUAAUUUUUUAUCAACUUCACUAUAGGGUACCCAGAUAUUUGAUCAAAUAUUCUAGGCUUGUCUGUGAGGGUGUUUCUGGUUAAGGUUAACAUUUGAAUUGGUAGACUGAGCAAAACAGAUUGCCCUCCCAAAUGUGAGUGAGCCUCAUCUAAUCAAUUGAAGACCUGAAUAGAAUAAAAAAGCUAAGAGGGAACUCCUCCUACCUGACUACUUGAGCUGGGACAUUGGUCUUUUCUGGCCUUUGGACUGGGACUGGAACAUCAGCUCUUCUUGGGUGUCAAGCCUACCAACUUUCAGACUUUAAUUGGGCAGAAGCCAAUGGUCUGGCCCUUUCACAGGGGGUCUGGAAGGCAAAGGACUGGAAAAUCAAAGACAAGGAGGUCUGGGAUAGAGUUACGUGAAUGAAUAUAUGGAAGUAGUCAUGAGGUGUGAAGUUUUUAUCUCAUGUAUCUACAAGAGAAGAGGCACUAAACAAUCAAGAAGGCAAAAUGAGUCAGUUGACAUUACUAGGCUUAAUCAUUGGCCACCUAGGAACCAGCAUCAUGGGCACUUUUAUGGGCUAAAUUGCUGUCUUUGUCUGUUCAGAUACUGCUUAUUAGACAUACCUGAGACUGGGUAAUUUAUAAAGGAAAGAGGUUUAAUGGACUCAGUUCCACAUGGCUGGGGAGGCCUCACAACCAUGGCGGAAGUCAAAGGAGAAGCAAAAGCACAUCUUACAUGGCAGCAGGCAAGAGUGCAUGUGCAGGGGAACUCCCCUUUAUAAAACCAGACCUUGUGAGACUUAUUCACUAUCACAAGACUUACUAUCAUGGGAAAGAUCCACCCCCAUGAGUCAGUUAUCUCCCACAGGGUCCCUCCUGUGACAUGUGGGAAUUAUGGGAGCAAAAUUCAAGAUGAGAUUUGGGUGGGUUCAGAGCCAAACCAUAUCAUUCUGCCCCAGCCCCUCCCAAAUUUUAUGUCCUCACAUUUCAAAACCAAUCAUGCCUUCCCAACAGUCCCCCAAAGUCUUAACUUAUUUCAGCAUUCACUCAGAAGUCCACAGUCCAAAGUCUCAUCUGAGACAAGGCAAGUCCCUUCCCCCUAUAAGCCUGUAAAAUCAAAAGCAAGUUAGUUACUUCCUAGAUACAAUGGGAGUACAGGCAUUGGGUAAAUACACCAAUUCCAAAUGGGAGAAAUUAGCCAAAACAAAGAAGCUACAGACCCCAUGCAAGUCAGAAAUCCAGCAGGGCAGCCAAAUCUUAGAGCUCCAAAAUGAUCUCCUUUGACUCCUUGUCUCACAUCCAGGUCAUGAUGAUGCAAAAGGUAGGCUCCCACAGCCUUGGGCAGCUCUGCCCCUGUGGCUUUGCAGGGUACAGCCCUGCUCCUGGCUGCUUUCCUGGACUGGCGUUGAGUGUCUGCGACUUUCCUGGGCACACAGUGCAAGCUGUCGGUGGACCUACCAUUCUGGGGUCUGGAGGAUGUUGGCCUUCUCACAGCUCCACUAGGCAGUGCCCCGCUGGGGACCCUGUGGGGCUCUGACCCCACAUUUCCUUUCUGCACUACUCUAGCAGAGGUUCUCCAUGAGGGCCCUGCUCCUGCAGCAAACUUCUGCCUGAAUAUCCAGGUAUUUCCAUACAUCUCUGAAAUCUAGGCAGAGGUUCCUAAACCACAAUUCCUGACUUCUGUGCACCUGCAGGCUCAACACCACGUGGAAGCUGCCGAGGCUUGGGGCUUGCACCCUCUGAAGCAAUGGCCUGAGCUCUAUGUUGGCCCCUUUUAGCCCCAGAUGGGACACAGGGUACCAAGUCCCAAGACUGCACAAAGCAGCAAGGCCCUGGACCCCGCCCAUGAAACCAUUUUUCUCUCCUAGACCUCCAGGCCUGUGAUGAGAGGGGCUGAGGUGAAGACCUCUGACAUUCCCUGAAGACAUUUUCCCCAUUGUCUUGGUGAUUAACAUUUGGCCCUUCAUUACUUAUGCAAAUUUCUGCAGCUGGAUUGGAUUUCUCCUCAGAAAAUGUGUUUUUCUUUUCUAUUGCAUCAUCAGGCUGUACCUUUUCUGAAUUUUCAUGCUCUGUUUCCUCUUGAAGCCUCUUCCACUUAGGAAUUUCUUCUGGCAGAUACCUAAAUCAUCUCUCUCAAGUUCAAAGUUCCACAGAUCUCUUGGGCAGGGGCAAAAUACCACCAGUCUGUUUGCAUAGCAAGAGUGAACUUUACUUCAGUUCCCAACAAGUUUCCCAUCUCCAUCUGAGACCACCUCAGCCUGGACUUUGUUGUCCAUAUCAUUAUCAACAUUUUGGUCAAAGCCAUUCUACAAGUCUCUAGGAAGUUCCAAACUUUCCCACAUUUUCCUAUCUUCUUCUGAGCCCUCCAAACCAUUCUACCCUCUGCCGUUUCCCAGUUCCAAAGUCGCCUCCACAUUUUUGGGUAUUUUUACAGCAACACCCCACUCUACCAGUACCAAUUUACUGUAUUAGUCUGUUCUCAUGCUGCUAAUAAAGACAUACCC
rnacentral:lncRNA from 10 species